rnacentral:rRNA from 1 species
UACGUAGGGUGCAAGCGUUGUCCGGAAUUAUUGGGCGUAAAGAGCUCGUAGGCGGUCUGUCGCGUCGGCUGUGAAAACCCGGAGCUCAACUCCGGGCCUGCAGUCGAUACGGGCAGACUGGAGUUCGGCAGGGGAGACUGGAAUUCCUGGUGUAGCGGUGAAAUGCGCAGAUAUCAGGAGGAACACCGGUGGCGAAGGCGGGUCCCUGGGCCGAUACUGACGCUGAGGAGCGAAAGCGUGGGGAGCGAACAGG